rnacentral:lncRNA from 1 species
GGAGAUAUGGUGAAAAUCAUGCAAGCCGAUUAAACUUAUAUCAAUGCUGUAGCUGAUUCCUUUUUGGGAGUCAGACAAAGUGCACUAAAUGUCUGGGAAAGUGUGGGAUGAGGAUGUCAUCUUUUGUACUCCUUCAUGGUUCACUUCUAACACCUCUUUAUAUUGGAUGUAGCCUGCUUUUGUCUUCAAGUGCCAAUGCUCCGAAGGAUUUUUAUUUUGUUCUAAGCUUCUGAAUUUAAUCAUGUACGCUUGAUGAAAGCAUUUCCCAAGCUCCUCUUCAUUGUUGUCAUCCUCAUCUCCUCCGUUUUGUUCUCAUCACCUUGCUGUUGCCUUUUCUUCAUGGAUUUUUCUUUACG